AUGGCGCAGCCUCCAGCUAAAAAGACGCUGUCGGUGUACCUGUACAUCCCUAACAUCAUUGGGUAUUUCAGGAUCAUCAUGAACUUCAUUGCAUUUGCUGUGUGCUAUACCAACAGAACACUCUUUGCUAUCCUGUACUUCUUCAGCUUCUUCUGUGAUGGCUUGGAUGGUUGGUUUGCCAGGAGGUUCAAUCAAGCAUCAACAUUUGGAGCUGUGUUGGACAUGGUAACAGAUAGGGUUAGCACUGCUUGUUUGUUGGCGCUUCUCUCACAGUUUUACAGACCUGGCUUGGUUUUCAUACUGUUACUUGGGUUGGACAUCACAAGCCACUGGUUUCAAAUGUACAGUUCUUUCCUAUCAGGUAAGACUAGCCACAAGGAUGUGAAGCACACAGGCAAUGGGCUUUUGAAGUUAUAUUAUGGAUAUCGGCCGUUCAUGGCGUUCUGUUGUGUUGCUUCUGAGGUUCUGUACAUUAUCCUGUUUCUCUAUGCUGAUGCGAAGUCCACAAGCUUGCUUAAUACGUGCAGAGGUAUUCUGAAGGAAAGUCCCCUCGUUGUCUUCAUGUUCAUUUCAACUCUAAUUGGGUGGGCACUCAAACAAGUGAUCAAUGUCAUCCAGAUGAAAACAGCUGCAGAUGCUUGUGUGGCGUACGAUUCGAAAAGAGGCAAGUGA
rnacentral:rRNA from 1 species